AAUUAACGCUGGCGGCAUGCCUAACACAUGCAAGUCGCACGAGAAAGCCCGGUUCGCCGGGCGAGUAAAGUGGCGCACGGGUGAGUAACGCGUGGAUAAUCUACCUCGUUCUGGGGGAUAACCCAUCGAAAGGUGGGCUAAUACCGCAUAAUCCGGCUGAAUUUCGGUUUGGUCGGCAAAGGUGGCCUCUUGAUCAAAGCUACCGGGAAGAGAUGAGUCCGCGUCCCAUUAGCUAGUUGGUAGGGUAAUGGCCUACCAAGGCUUCGACGGGUAGCCGGCUUGAGAGAGCGAUCGGCCACAAGGGGACUGAGACACGGCCCCUACUCCUACGGGAGGCUG
rnacentral:rRNA from 1 species